ACUUGUACCGACUGGAUGAGCAGCGAACGGGUGAGUAACGCGUGGGGAAUCUGCCUUUGAGCGGGGGACAACAUUUGGAAACGAAUGCUAAUACCGCAUAAAAACUUUAAACACAAGUUUUAAGUUUGAAAGAUGCAAUUGCAUCACUCAAAGAUGAUCCCGCGUUGUAUUAGCUAGUUGGUGAGGUAAAGGCUCACCAAGGCGAUGAUACAUAGCCGACCUGAGAGGGUGAUCGGCCACAUUGGGACUGAGACACGGCCCAAACUCCUACGGGAGGCAGCAGUAGGGAAUCUUCGGCAAUGGACGAAAGUCUGACCGAGCAACGCCGCGUGAGUGAAGAAGGUUUUCGGAUCGUAAAACUCUGUUGGUAGAGAAGAACGUUGGUGAGAGUGGAAAGCUCAUCAAGUGACGGUAACUACCCAGAAAGGGACGGCUAACUACGUGCCAGCAGCCGCGGUAAUACGUAGGUCCCGAGCGUUGUCCGGAUUUAUUGGGCGUAAAGCGAGCGCAGGUGGUUUAUUAAGUCUGGUGUAAAAGGCAGUGGCUCAACCAUUGUAUGCAUUGGAAACUGGUAGACUUGAGUGCAGGAGAGGAGAGUGGAAUUCCAUGG
rnacentral:rRNA from 1 species